ACAUAAGUGUCAAAAUACAAAUGCUUUCCUGCUUGCAGGAAAAGCUUUUGUAUUUUUGACACGCCAAAACACGAGGAAUUAGCAUUUUUCGUAGAAAAAUUGCGGUUUCCGAGUGUUUUCAGGAUUGCGGGAGUUUCGCAGAAACGGAGCAAUCCGUAU
rnacentral:sRNA from 1 species